rnacentral:siRNA from 1 species
AGACACUUUUCAAGGAGUAGGCAC